GAUGAACGCUGGCGGUAUGCUUAACACAUGCAAGUCGAACAGUACCUUCGGGUAUAGUGGCGGACGGGUGAGUAACGCGUGAGAAUCUAUCUUCAGGUCGGGGACAACAGUUAGAAAUGACUGCUAAUACCGGAUGUGCCGAAAGGUAAAAGAUUUAUUGCCUGAAAAAGAGCUCGCGUCAGAUUAGCUAGUAGGUGGUGUAAGAGACUACCUAGGCUUCGAUCUGUAGCUGGUCUGAGAGGACGAUCAGCCACACUGGAACUGAGACACGGUCCAGACUCCUACGGGAGGCAGCAGUGGGGAAUUUUCCGCAAUGGGCGAGAGCCUGACGGAGCAAUACCGCGUGAGGGACGAAGGCUCUUGGGUCGUAAACCUCUUUUCUCAAGGAAGAUUCAGACGGUACUUGAGGAAUAAGCAUCGGCUAACUCUGUG
rnacentral:rRNA from 1 species